rnacentral:misc_RNA from 1 species
GUGAAUCAUCAAAUCUUUGAACGCAAAUUGCACUCUCUGGUUUUUCCGGAGAGUAUGCCUGUUUGAGGGUCUGUUUAACAAAUAAUCGAGGCGGCUGAAGUGAUGGCUCGUCGGAAUUUGGUAAUCUUUCACAUUUAGGUUGUAAGCGACCUAAAAUUUUUUUUACGAUUUCUACGAACGUGACGAAGAAUUU